rnacentral:rRNA from 1 species
CCUACGGGUGGCAGCAGUGGGGAAUAUUGGACAAUGGGGGCAACCCUGAUCCAGCCAUGCCGCGUGUGUGAAGAAGGCCCUCGGGUUGUAAAGCACUUUCAGUGAGGAAGAACGCCUGGUGGUUAAUACCCAUCAGGAAAGACAUCACUCACAGAAGAAGCACCGGCUAACUCCGUGCCAGCAGCCGCGGUAAUACGGAGGGUGCGAGCGUUAAUCGGAAUUACUGGGCGUAAAGCGCGCGUAGGUGGCUUGAUAAGCCGGUUGUGAAAGCCCCGGGCUCAACCUGGGAACGGCAUCCGGAACUGUCAAGCUAGAGUUCAGGAGAGGAAGGUAAAAUUCCCGGUGUAGCGGUGAAAUGCGUAGAAUUCGGGAGGAAUACCAGUGGCGAAGGCGGCCGUCUGGACUGACACUGACACUGAGGUGCGAAAGCGUGGGUAGCAAACAGGAUUAGAUACCCUUGUAGUC